UAACGGGAAGAACCUUACCAGGUCUUGACAUACUAUGCAAAUCUAAGAGAUUAGACGUUCCCUUCGGGGACAUGGAUACAGGUGGUGCAUGGUUGUCGUCAGCUCGUGUCGUGAGAUGUUGGGUUAAGUCCCGCAACGAGCGCAACCCUUAUUAUCAGUUGCCAGCAUUAAGUUGGGCACUCUGGUGAGACUGCCGGUGACAAACCGGAGGAAGGUGGGGAUGACGUCAAAUCAUCAUGCCCCUUAUGACCUGGGCUACACACGUGCUACAAUGGAUGGUACAACGAGUUGCGAACUCGCGAGAGUAAGCUAAUCUCUUAAAGCCAUUCUCAGUUCGGAUUGUAGGCUGCAACUCGCCUACAUGAAGUCGGAAUCGCUAGUAAUCGCGGAUCAGC
rnacentral:rRNA from 1 species